rnacentral:rRNA from 1 species
UACGUAGGGGGCAAGCGUUGUUCGGAAUUACUGGGCGUAAAGGGCUCGUAGGCGGCCAACUAAGUCAUACGUGAAAUCCCUCAGCUUAACCGGGGAACUGCAUCUGAUACUGGAUGGCUUGAGUUCGGGAGAGGGAUGCGGAAUUCCAGGUGUAGCGGUGAAAUGCGUAGAUAUCUGGAGGAACACCGGUGGCGAAGGCGGCAUCCUGGACCGUAACUGACGCUGAGGAGCGAAAGCAUGGGGAGCGAACAGG